rnacentral:rRNA from 1 species
UGAGAGGAAGCUGCAGCCAGCGGCUGGAAGAGCUGGUGCAAGCGAGAUAUCGGGAUGGCAGGCAAAUCCACCAUCCGAAACGAGAAGGCGUGAAGCGUACGGAAAGCUACGGCGAGUACGGAAGGCAGUGGAGGAACUUCCAAGAAAAGUUUCUAACGUUAAGUAUAUAUGGCCCGUACCGAAAAUGGACACACAUGGGUGAGGAGAGAAUCCUAAGGUGAGCGAGAGAACUAUAGCUAAGGAACUCUGCAAAAUGACUCCGUAACUUAGGGAGAAGGAGUGCUCAUAGAGAUAUGAGCCGCAGUGAAACGGCCCAAGCGACUGUUUACCAAAAACACAGCUCUCUGCUAAGCCGCAAGGCGAAGUAUAGGGGGUGACGCCUGCCCGGUGCUGGAAGGUUAAGGGGAGGGGUUAACGCAAGUGAAGCCCUGAACUGAAGCCCCAGUAAACGGCGGCCGUAACAAUAACGGUCCUAAGGUAAAAAAUUCCUUGUCAGGUAAGUUCUGACCCGCACGAAAGGCGUAACGAUUUGGGCGCUGUCUCAGCUGUAGACUCGGUGAAGUCUUAGUACCUGUGAAGAUGCAGGUUACCCGCGACUAGACGGAAAGACCCCAUGGAGCUUCACUGCAGGUUGAUAUUGGGAUUUGAUGCAGCAUGUACAGGAUAGGUAGGAGGCAAAGAGAUGGAUACGCCAGUAUUCAAGGAGCCGCUGUUGGGAUACUACCCCUGUUGUAUUGGAUUUCUAACCGGACGACAUAGAGCCGUUGACGGGACAGUGUCAGUCGGGCAGUUUGACUGGGGCGGUCGCCUCCCAAAGAGUAACGGAGGCGCCCAAAGAUACCCUCAGCUUGGAUGGAAACCAAGCGCAGAGUGCAAAGGCAAAAGGGUGUUUGACUGCGAGACCCACAAGUCGAGCAGGGACGAAAGUCGGGCUUAGUGAUCCGGCGGUGCUGAAUGGAAAGGCCGUCGCUCAACGGAUAAAAGCUACCCUGGGGAUAACAGGCUGAUCUCCCCCAAGAGUUCACAUCGACGGGGAGGUUUGGCACCUCGAUGUCGGCUCAUCGCAUCCUGGAGCUGAAGCCGGUUCCAAGGGUUGGGCUGUUCGCCCAUUAAAGCGGUACGCGAGCUGGGUUCAGAACGUCGUGAGACAGUUCGGUCCCUAUCUGUCGUGGGCGCAGGAAAUUUGAGAAGAGCUGUCCUCAGUACGAGAGGACCGGGAUGGACGCAUCAAUGGUGGACCAGUUGUCACGCCAGUGGCAUAGCUGGGUAGCUAAAUGCGGAAGGGAUAAACGCUGAAGGCAUCUAAGUGUGAAACCCACUUCAAGAUGAGAUUUCCCAUUGCGCAAGCAAGUAAGACCCCUUAAAGACGAUAAGGUAGAUAGGUCAGGAGUGUAAGCAUGGUGACAUGUUAAGCGGACUGAUACUAAUAGGUCGAGGGCUUGACU